GGAAGUCCAUGGUUUCAAGCCCAGUGCCUCACCACCCUUACAAUAAAAAAAUUCUUCCUAAAAUCUCUUCUAAACAUUCCCUCCUUCAGCUCAAGACCAUUUCCCCCUCUCCAAUCACUACAUGACACUGUGUAGAGUCUCUCUCCAAUUUUCUUGUAGCCCCUUAAGGCAUCUAAAGCUGCUCUAAUGUCUCCCUGCAGCUUUCUCCUCUCCAUUCUGAGCAGCCCCAAGAUCUCCCAGCCUGGCAUUUUCAUGACCAUCAGCAGUUCUGAAAGGCUGAAAUCAGAUGUGUCAAACCUGGAUAUCAGAUGUAGGGCAGAGUUACAAAGGUGGUUUUCUGAGAAAUACAGACAACCUUCAGCUCAGAGCUGAGUCACUCACAGCCUCAAUAAAACUUCAAGAAAUUUGCAUAGACCUGGACUGAACAAGUCACCCCCUCUGUGGCAUGAGCUGCUGUGCCACAAGGUGCAGGUAACUGCAGCUAAAGAGAAAAUGAGCAGCUGCUACAGGUGGGCACUUUCUGCAGUGCUCAUCACUCUGAAGAUCCAGGAGGGCUCCAGAAGGAGCUUUUGGAAGCUGUCUCAAAGAGGCAGGCAAAGAUAACAAGAUAUUUUUUAGUGCAGUUCUAGCAGGACUUUGAACACUGAGGAAGACUUCCUUGUAGCUCUUGGUGCUUGUGUGUUUGCAUUAGAUUUUAAGCCCACCCCACUGCUGACCAACUGGAGGCAUGAGUGCUAUCAGGGGCCCCACUAAGGCUUCUGAGGCCUGUUAUCUCACAGUAGCUGCUAUUAUGCACAAACAAACCAAUAUAUUAAUAAACUUCCUUCAACACAGAGACUACGGUUGAUCUGUAAUCUCCAAGUAAAUUAAUUUUUGACUAAAAGCUGUUUUUCAGAUGGCACUGAAUGUGCAUAGCUUGAGGAAGCUAACCCUCUUCCUGAAUUCAUUCCAAAUUUGCUGCUGAUCACUCCAGGCCUUGUUUUUGUGUGUUGCUUCUUUUUUCUAUUGUUAUGCACAAAAGAAAUCUGCAAUGACAGCAACACGCAAUGUAUUUCUUCCUUCUGCCCUGUAUGCUUUCCCCUUCCACAGCCUCUUAACUACAUCCUUCCCUCAUUCCAGGUACACUGCCACUGAAACCAGAUCGUACUCAGUUCUGAUUCUGUGGUUUGACAUCCUCUGGAAGGACUGAAACAAGGGCUGUGCUGAGCAAGAAGCGUAUCAAGCACAUGAGCUCAAUGUUUCAUGACUACAAACAAGAUCAUAAAGGGACAUGCAAUAGUGGACUGCAAGAGAGUCCCAGCUGUACAUUACAUCUCUCCUCUCCCAUACACUGGAGCAGCAAGGACUGUGCAAGAUGAAUAGAGACCAGACUCCCUUCUGUGUGCUCUGUCUGCAGUUUAACCCACUCACACUGGCAAAGAGUAAGUCUCUGACGACCUUCUGGCUGACUUUUCCUCUUGUUAAGAACGUUCUGGGAAAUUACUUGGCAUGGCAGUCAUUUGGAGGAGGUAGCUCACUACACAAUCGUAUGGAAAGGACCAUUUGUAGGCAUGUUCUGACUUUGCCACUUCUUGUGAGCAGAGGAAACCCCAGCCUUGUUUUCCACCAAAAGAGACCUCAAAGGCAACUCUCCAGUCUGGAGCAAGCACCCUCUGGCCUGGGCUCCUCUCAUGCUGGGAAAGGGGAAACCAGGAGACGAGGUAUCACAGAAAUGCUUGUGCUUGCAGGGAGUAGUGCUAUUUUCACAGUGUCUUAUGUGUCAGGGGAAUAAAAAAGGAUGAAAAAAAAAGGAUGAAAGAAAAGGAUACAACCACAUAAUGCCCAAUGUACCACAUUCCACUUCAAAAUACGGACAAGGCGGAAACAGGGCAAACAGGUUCGUUACUGAAUUUGCAACCUCUCUGCAUUCCUUCCAUGGUUUGUAAUGUCACACUAGAGAAGAGUUAUCGUUUACCACUUACUGCCUGAAGGUUACACCAUCCAAACAGCACAAGGCCAAAGUACACAGUCGUGAACUGCAUUGUGAAAAAUCAAAUUGCUCCUUUGCUGUUUAACGCAGCGUGCAGUAAUCUUUGGGCACAGCUUUGAUCUCUUAUCAGUUGAAUUUCUCAUUAUAACCUUCUAACUCAGCCACUAGGAACACCUACACAUGCAGGGGAGAGCCUGGCAGAGCCACUGCAGUGGUGUGUGACAGCCCCAGCACUUCCAGCUUUGGGCAUCUGAGGAGUGCCUGGAUCAGAAAUGCAGCACCUGGAGUCAAUCCCUCCUUCACAGCCAGCCCCAGAGGCUCCUCAGCCCCCUGGGGAUCUGAUUCAUCCCCUGCAAAUGCCUCUCUGGGGGAACGAAGAGACAACUGGAGUUACUGUACUCCCAGCUUAAGCAGCUCAGAACGGUUUCUAAAGUUAGGUGGGAUAAAUGCAGACCUUGGUGAUUACCACAGACACCCAUUUAGCAUGAGGUUAAUUGCUUAGCUUUGUGUACUGUGGUGAGAUGGUACUUGCUGAAGGAGGAUCUCCCUCUCUCAGGAACGGUCUCCCACUAUUUAUUCCCCUUCCCAGAAUCAAAGGCUUGAAAAUCACAUGAAAAUACCCACUGUUGGAAGUGCUACUAAAUUAUGAAAGGGUUUGGUUACAUCUGCUGGGAAAUAAGUAUUUUUAUUCCUCCCUCCAUGUCUUCUCUCUAACUGAACAGAUUUAACUGUUUUGCACCCGAAUCUCAGACAGGUGGAAAACAACUUCAGAACCAGUUUCAAGCGCCAUUAAUUAUAAAAAUAGACUAAGAUUACUUCCAAGUCCUGUUACUGUAUAUCUUCCUAUAGUUAUCUGUUCUUCUGGUUUGUUUUUUUUUAAUAUUUCCAAGGGUUCCCCUUUCCUACUGCACUAUAUAGAGCAAUCAUGAAUCAUUUAUAAUAGUUCUGGGGUCUCACACAUUAUCAUUAUCAGUUAAGCAAUGUAAUAAAUAAAUGAGAUUUAAGUUGACAGAGCCCUGUAGAUAAGAGUCAGCUUCUCAUUUCAGAUGUCAACAUAGAUGCUUCCAUAUCAUUGAAUUGAUCACCUAACAGCAUGGCCACUGUGAAAGCCUUUAUCAUAAAAUUUAUAGUGUGUUUUUAAAAUAACUGAAAUUGUUGUGCCAGCAAAUAGUGAUCUAAGUUAAGAAGAAAUUGAAUUUGCCUCUUACAGAUUUGUUUAUGGUAUGUGAUUGUGAAAUGAUGUAUUUAUUAACACACAGCUCAGAAUAAAUGAAAUAUCUGAAAUACA